rnacentral:rRNA from 1 species
UACGGGGGGGGCAAGCGUUGUUCGGAAUUACUGGGCGUAAAGGGCUCGUAGGUGGCCAACUAAGUCAGACGUGAAAUCCCUCAGCUUAACUGGGGAACUGCGUCUGAUACUGGAUGGCUUGAGUUUGGGAGAGGGAUGCGGAAUUCCAGGUGUAGCGGUGAAAUGCGUAGAUAUCUGGAGGAACACCGGUGGCGAAGGCGGCAUCCUGGACCAACACUGACACUGAGGAGCGAAAGCCAGGGGAGCAAACGGGAGUUAG